UACAGAGGGUGCAAGCGUUGUUCGGAAUUAUUGGGCGUAAAGGGCGCGUAGGCGGUGCGGUAAGUCCGCAGUGAAAUCUCUGGGCUCAACUCAGAGUCUGCUGUGGAAACUGCCGUGCUUGAGUGUGGGAGAGGUGAGUGGAAUUCCCCAGUGUAGCGGUGAAAUGCGUAGAUAUUGGGAGGAACACCAGUGGCGAAGGCGGCUCACUGGACCGGUACUGACGCUGAUGCGCGAAAGCGUGGGGAGCAAACGGG
rnacentral:rRNA from 1 species